rnacentral:rRNA from 1 species
CAAGGGCGCUCCGGGUUAGCGGCGGACGGUGAGUAACACGUGGGUAACCUGCCUGUAAGACUGGGAACUCCGGGAAACCGGAGCUAAUACCGGAUAGUUCCUUGAACCGCAUGGUUCAAGAUGAAAGACGGUUUCGGCUGUCACUUACAGAUGGACCCGCGGCGCAUUAGCUAGUUGGUGGGGUAAUGGCUCACCAAGGCGACGAUGCGUAGCCGACCUGAGAGGGUGAUCGGCCACACUGGGACUGAGACACGGCCCAGACUCCUACGGGAGGCAGCAGUAGGGAAUCUUCCGCAAUGGACGAAAGUCUGACGGAGCAACGCCGCGUGAGUGAUGAAGGUUUUCGGAUCGUAAAGCUCUGUUGUUAGGGAAGAACAAGUGCGAGAGUAACUGCUCGCUUGACGGUACCUAACCAGAAAGCCACGGCUAACUACGUGCCAGCAGCCGCGGUAAUACGUAGGUGGCAAGCGUUGUCCGGAAUUAUUGGGCGUAAAGGGCUCGCAGGCGGUUUCUUAAGUCUGAUGUGAAAGCCCCCGGCUCAACCGGGGAGGGUCAUUGGAAACUGGGAAACUUGAGUGCAGAAGAGGAGAGUGGAAUUCCACGUGUAGCGGUGAAAUGCGUAGAGAUGUGGAGGAACACCAGUGGCGAAGGCGACUCUCUGGUCUGUAACUGACGCUGAGGAGCGAAAGCGUGGGGAGCGAACAGGAUUAGAUACCCUGGUAGUCCACGCCGUAAACGAUGAGUGCUAAGUGUGGGUUUCCGCCCCUUAGUGCUGCAGCUAACGCAUUAAGCACUCCGCCUGGGGAGUACGGUCGCA